CUAGUUGUCUGCGCAUGCGUCAAUCGUUCGUCAGAUUCUGACGAAUGGAUAUUCUCGUUCACUUUUGUGACAUUUAUAUUCGUGUACUAUCGUGUACUAGAAGUCAGUUCCCGUUUUAUCAUUAUUGGAAUAGAUUGGAAUGGCUCUUAGCUGAAGCUUCUCUCUUCUCUGAAGCUUAUUCUGAAGACUGAACAACAAGGGAAGAGGUAUAAAGCUUUGUCAAGCUUGUUAAGGAGCAAUGGCUAAUAUCCAGCUAUCCCAACAGUGCUCCUCUUGGCUAUACUAACGGACGAGACUGGACAGUUUGAGACACAGGACUGGAGUAUGACCUGCUCAUUCGAGCGUUGCUGGGUAGCUCAGAGACAUCAAGAGAAUCUACGUUUUCUCAAGCAAUGAGUUACGAGUUGGGGCCUAGAAUCAGAGAAGUCCAGCAGCCUGCUAAAUCUUUUUGAAACGUAAUUUGAAGGCAUUCAAUCAUCUUGAAGUUGCCCUGGGUCACUGUAAUUGUGCUGCAGCACAACUGGCAACUCCCCAGGCCUUUGUGAAGCAGCUCCCUAUGUGCAUUUUUUGUGUACUCACUCUGUGCAUUUUCUGUGUACAAAUUUCUAUUAUUGAUUUAUUAAAUAUUUUUGCCGACCACAAAUAUACAAUGAAAAUUUGACGCAUGCA